rnacentral:misc_RNA from 1 species
CAGUUUAUUCUCCCCACCUUCAUUGCCCCAUCCAAUGAGCUUGCAACAUCUCUAAUGACAGAUUCAUAAUAUUGGAUAUCUCUCGAUAUAGAUGUAUGAGAGAGUAAUAGCCAAGUCAUUCCUUUAUCAGAUAUUUCUUUCUUAUACAACUGCGAGUUUAUGGAAGGGAUGCUCUUGCCAGAGUUCUUGGUUCUAGACUGAGACUUGCCUGAACCACCAAAGCCACUAAAACCCCCAAAUCUACUCCCACUUCCCAUACCACUGCCAAACAUGUUG